rnacentral:tRNA from 1 species
GGUGGUGUUAGAUUAUUAUUAAAGCACUGGAUUGGGAUUCAGGAGAUCUAGGUUCAACUCCUGGCUCUAUCA